rnacentral:rRNA from 1 species
AGUGAACGCUGGCGGCGUGCCUAAUACAUGCAAGUCGAACGGAGUGGCGCACGGGUGAGUAAUGUAUAGCUAAUCUGCCCUCCACUAGAGGACAACAGUUGGAAACGGCUGCUAAUACUCUAUAGUGUAGGAUGAGGCUAUAUUGUAUCAGCUAGUUGGUGAGGUAAUGGCUAACCAAGGCUAUGACGCAUAACUGGCCUGAGAGGAUGAUCAGUCAGACUGGAACUGAGACACGGUCCAGGAACCUACGGUAGGCAGCAGUAGGGCAUAUGGCUCAAUGGGUGAAGCCCUGAAGGAGCAACGCCGCGUGGAGGAUGACACUUUUCGGAGCGUAAACUCCUUUUGUUAGGGAAGCGGUACCUAACGAAUAAGCACCGGCUAACUCCGUGCCAGCAGCCGCGGUAAUAC